rnacentral:rRNA from 1 species
UUGGGAAUCUUAGGCAAUGGGCGAAAGCCUGACCUAGCGACGCCGCGUGAGGGAAGAAGGCCUUCGGGUCGUAAACCUCUGUCAUGGGGGACGAAGGAAGUGACGGUACCCCAAGAGGAAGCCCCUGNCUAACUACGUGCCAGCAGCCGCGGUAAUACGUAGGGGGCGAGCGUUAUCCGGAAUUAUUGGGCGUAAAGGGCGAGUAGGCGGUCUGUUAAGUCAGGUGUGAAAUUUCAGGGCUCAACCUGGGAACUGCAUCCAAAACUGGCAAGCUAGAGUAUGGUAGAGGGUAGUGGAAUUUCCUGUGUAGCGGUGAAAUGCGUAGAUAUAGGAAGGAACACCAGUGGCGAAGGCGACUACCUGGACUGAUACUGACACUGAGGUGCGAAAGCGUGGGGAG